rnacentral:rRNA from 1 species
UACGUAGGGGGCAAGCGUUGUCCGGAUUUAUUGGGCGUAAAGAGCGUGUAGGCGGUUUGGUAGGUCCGUUGUGAAAACUCGAGGCUCAACCUCGAGACGCCGAUGGAAACCAUCAGACUAGAGUCCGGAAGAGGAGAGUGGAAUUCCUGGUGUAGCGGUGAAAUGCGCAGAUAUCAGGAAGAACACCUGUGGCGAAGGCGGCUUUCUGGGCCCUACCUGACGCUGAGACGCGAAAGCGUGGGGAGCGAACCGG